GGGGAUGUUUUGGUUUUGACAGCAUCAGACAUUGGACGGUAAGCACGUCGGGCGUGGGAAGUUUGCCCGUAAAUCUCAGCUUUCGAACAAUUAGUUGGCAACAACUCUUAUGCACUCGCUGCGUAGUCUGCUAAGCACACUACCUUAAUCCGUGCCGCCAAGGCUGCGGCACCGACGAGUAUCCCGUCAGGCUUUAUUCCUGUUCUGUCUGACUCACGGGGUAUCAUUCAAACAGGAUGCUCGGAGCGAUUCCUUUAAACUCCGCCAAGACUUUAAGGAUAAGCUUCAGGUAGCCCGUCUUCCGGCAGCCUGCAGUCGAAAAUCAAAGAAAGACUAAGCGUGUAGAAAGCCGCCUGGUGCGGUGUUUGGACGGCGGUUCGAGUCCGCCCAUCUCCACAA
rnacentral:tmRNA from 1 species